rnacentral:pre_miRNA from 1 species
AGGAGGGACAACCCCACUGGCGGGGCCAGCUCCCCAGCCCUGGAGUCAGCUCCCGCAGUAACUCCCGCAGCUCCCGGUCCGCAGGGGGCUGGAUGCUCCGGGGCAGG